rnacentral:piRNA from 1 species
UGAGAGGCAGCUUGCGAGUGGGUUCUCUC